UACGUAGGGUGCAAGCGUUAAUCGGAAUUACUGGGCGUAAAGCGUGCGCAGGCGGUUUUGUAAGACAGAGGUGAAAUCCCCGGGCUCAACCUGGGAACUGCCUUUGUGACUGCAAGGCUUGAGUGCGGCAGAGGGGGAUGGAAUUCCGCGUGCAGCAGUGAAAUGCGUAGAUAUGCGGAGGAACACCGAUGGCGAAGGCAAUCCCCUGGGCCUGCACUGACGCUCAUGCACGAAAGCGUGGGGAGCAAACAGG
rnacentral:rRNA from 1 species